rnacentral:rRNA from 1 species
UACGUAGGGUGCGAGCGUUAAUCGGAAUUACUGGGCGUAAAGCGUGCGUAGACGGUUGCGUAAGUCAGAUGUGAAAGCCCCGGGCUCAACCUGGGAAUUGCAUUUGAGACUGCGUAGCUAGGGUGCGGAAGAGGGAAGCGGAAUUUCCGGUGUAGCGGUGAAAUGCGCAGAUAUCGGGAAGAACACCCGUGGCGAAGGCGGCUCUCUGGGACGGUACUGACGCUGAGACGCGAAAGCGUGGGGAGCGAACAGG